UCAAAGAUUAAGCCAUGCAUGUCUAAGUUCAAGCCCCAGAAUGGUGAAACUGCGAAUGGCUCAUUAUUNCAGUUGUUGUUUAUUAGGAUGUGACGGUUUACUUGGAUAACUGUGGUAAUCCUANNGCUAAUACAUGCCAAUGGGCCUUCCCGCAAGGGACGCCCGCAUUUAUUAGACAAAACCAACCUGCGGCAUUGCGCCGGGGUAGUCACAAAAGUGUUGAACACUGAAUAACUCUGUCCGAUCGCUCAGCCCAUAAAUGGCGGCGACGAUCCUUUCAAGUGUCUGCUCUAUCAACUUUAGAUGGUAGGUUAUACGCCUACCAUGGUGAUGACGGGUAACGAAGUAUUUGGGUACGACAUCGGAGAAGGAGCCUGAGAAACGGCUACUACAUCCAAGGAAGGCAGCAGGCGCGUAAAUUACCCAAUCCCGACACGGGGGAGGUAGUGACGAAAAAUAACAAUACGGGACUCUUUAGAGGCUCCGUAAUUGGAAUGAGUACACUCCAAAUCCUUUAACGAGGAUCUAUUGGAGGACAAGUCUAGUGCCAGCACCCGCGAUAAUUCCAGCUCCAAUAGCGUAUAUUAAAAUUGUUGCGGUUAAAAAGCUCGUAGUCGGAAUUAAACGUGUCUUGCGAAAACAGGCAUCAGAAUGGUGUCGCCCUUUGCAGGCUCGUUUCUCGGUGGUGCUCUCCGUUUACUUAAUUGUAAUGCGUUGUAGAGCUUACCACCAGAGUCACUUUGAUUAAAUUAGAGUGCUCAAGGCAGGCUAAUAGCCGGCAUACGAACGCAUGGAAUGACGGAAUACGUUGCCGUUCUGUUUGUUGGUUUAGGAUGAUGGCAAGAUGAUCGAUAGGAAUAGACGUGGGCGCUCGUAUUGCGGCGACAGAGGUGAAAUUCUUGGACCGUCGCAAGACGAACUACAGCGAAAGCAUUCGCCAAGAAUGUUUUCAUUGAUCAAGAACGAAAGUUAGAGGUUCGAAGGCGAUCAGAUACCGCCCUAGUUUUGACCAUAAACGAUGCCAACUAGCAAUCCGCCCGAGUUCUUAUAACGACUCGGCGGGCAACUUCGGGAAACCAAAGUCAGGUUCCGGGGGAAGUAUGGUUGCAAAGCUGAAACUUAAAGGAAUUGACGGAGGCGCACCACCAGCAAUGGAGUGUGCGGCUCAAUUUGACUCAACACUGGAAAUCUUACCCGGCCCGGACACUGGAAUGAUUGACAGAUUGAUAGCUCUUUCUUGAUUCGGUGGAUAGUGGUGCAUGGCCGUUCUUAGUUCGUGGAGCGAUCCGUCAGGUUAAUUCUGGUAACGGACGAGACUCUAGCCUAUUAAAUAGACGUGAUGGUUGAUCUUCUCAUCACGUUCUUCUUAGAGGGACAAGGUGCUUUUAGCACCGCGAAGCAGAGCAAUAACAGGUCUUGAAUGCCCUUAGAUGUCCGGGGCCGCACGCGCGCUACACUGAAGGAAGUAGCGUGCAAAUAUCCUUGCCUAAAAUGGCUGGGUAACCAUUGAACUUUCUUCAUGAUUGGGAUAGAGGCUUGCAAUUAUCCCUCUUGAACGAGGAACUGCUAGUAAGCGCCUGUCAUCAGCGGGUGCUGACUACGUCCCUGCGCUUUGUGCACACCGCCCGUCGCUACCUCCGAUUGAAUGGUUCAGUGAGGCUUGCCGACCAGUCCUUUGAACGGCCUUUUACGGGCUGUACUUACGGAUAGGAAAGCUGGCCAAACUCGAUCAUUUAGAGGAGGUAAAAGUCGUAACAAGGUGGCCGUAGGUGANCUUGNNGGAA
rnacentral:rRNA from 1 species